rnacentral:rRNA from 1 species
AUUAGAUAAAAAACCAAUGCCCUUCGGGGCUCCUUGGUGAUUCAUAAUAACUUAACGAAUCGCAUGGCCUUGCGCCGGCGAUGGUUCAUUCAAAUUUCUGCCCUAUCACCUUUCGAUUGUAAGAUAGAGGCUUACAAUGGGAGCAACGGGUAACGGGGAAUAAGGGUUCUAUUCCGGAGAGGGAGCCUGAGAAACGGCUACCACAUCCAAGGAAGGCAGCAGGCGCGCAAAUUACCCAAUCCCGAUACGGGGAGGUAGUGACAAUAAAUACUGAUACGGGGCUCUUUCGGGUCUCGUAAUUGGAAUGAGUACAAUCUAAAUCCCUUAACGAGGAACAAUUGGAGGGCAAGUCUGGUGCCAGCAGCCGCGGUAAUUCCAGCUCCAAUAGCGUAUAUUAAAGUUGUUGCCGUUAAAAAGCUCGUAGUUGAACCUUGGCCCUGGCUGAUCUGUCCUCCUAAUCGAGCGCACGGAUUCGGUCGGGGCUUUCCUUCUGGGGAGCCCCAUGCCCUUCACUGGG